AGUGGAAUCAACAAGAGACGGCAAUGUUGCAGCCAUCAUACUGGCAGUGGCUGAGACAACUCCAAUCUUGGUUUCAUCAGCAGGGGGUUAGGCUGAGUCUGUAGUUACGGUCGAACCAGAACCAUCUAUUGCUGUGCCGACCAUUCCUCCGAUGCCUUCAACUGAGCCAAUGUGGUCUCAAGCACCAUCAACUUUGGAUU
rnacentral:lncRNA from 1 species